GCGGUUAGGAGCUUACACCCACCCGUGUUUACAUACUAUUGUUGCUUUGGCGGGCCGUGGCCUCCACUGCGGGCUCUGCUCGUGUGUGCCCGCCAGAGAACCAAACUCUGAAUGUUAGUGAUGUCUGAGUACUAUCUAAUAGUUAAAACUUUCAACAACGGAUCUCUUGGUUCUGGCAUCGAUGAAGAACGCAGCGAAAUGCGAUAAGUAAUGUGAAUUGCAGAAUUCAGUGAAUCAUCGAAUCUUUGAACGCACAUUGCGCCCUGUGGUAUUCCGCAGGGCAUGCCUGUUCGAGCGUCAUUUAACCACUCACGCCUAGCGUGGUAUUGGGGCACGCGGUCUCCGCGGCCCUCAAAAUUAGUGGCGGCGCCGGUGGGCUCUAAGCGUAGUACAUACUCCCGCUAUAGAGUUCCCCCGGUGGCUCGCCAGAACCCCCAAUUUUUACAGGUUGACCUCGGAUCAGGUAGGGAUACCCGCUGAACUUAAGCAUAUCAAUA
rnacentral:rRNA from 1 species